AUUGAACGCUGGCGGCAGGCCUAACACAUGCAAGUCGAACGGUAACAGGAAGAAGCUUGCUUCUUUGCUGACGAGUGGCGGACGGGUGAGUAAUGUCUGGGCAACUGCCUGAUGGAGGGGGAUAACUACUGGAAACGGUAGCUAAUACCGCAUAACGUCGCAAGACCAAAAAGGGGGACCUUCGGGCCUCUUGCCAUCGGAUGUGCCCAGAUGGGAUUAGCUAGUAGGUGGGGUAACGGCUCACCUAGGCGACGAUCCCUAGCUGGUCUGAGAGGAUGACCAGCCACACUGGAACUGAGACACGGUCCAGACUCCUACGGGAGGCAGCAGUGGGGAAUAUUGGACAAUGGGCGCAAGCCUGAUGCAGCCAUGCCGCGUGUAUGAAGAAGGCCUUCGGGUUGUAAAGUACUUUCAGCGGGGAGGAAGGGAGUAAAGUUAAUACCUUGGCUCAUUGACGUUACCCGCAGAAGAAGCACCGGCUAACUCCGUG
rnacentral:rRNA from 1 species